GACCCUGCUAAAGAAAGUGGAAGAGGAAAUCCAAAUGGCAGUCAAGGUAAAAUUUAACUUUAUCUAUUAAAAAUAAUUAACAUGCUGAAUUGGGCUUUCAAUUUCUCUUCAAUUUUCAGCUCCAUGAAAGAGAUUAUAAAGACAAUGUCACCAAGACAGAAGAGGCUAGAGAAGAUAACAAUGAAUAGAUCAACUGAAAUAAAGAUAAUAAAGCCUACAGCACCACAUAAAUACUAGAAAAGAUACCGUUUGGGAUGUCUUCUGUUUUU
rnacentral:misc_RNA from 1 species